rnacentral:sRNA from 1 species
AGCUUGAGCGCUUAGGCGUUUUGCUAAAAAUUUUAGAGGCCGCUCCUUCGGGGGCGGCCUUUUUCGUUGGGGGGC